rnacentral:rRNA from 1 species
UUAAUGAGAGUUUGAUCCUGGCUCAGGACGAACGCUGGCGGCGUGCCUAAUACAUGCAAGUAGAACGCUGAAGGAGGAGCUUGCUUCUCUGGAUGAGUUGCGAACGGGUGAGUAACGCGUAGGUAACCUGCCUGGUAGCGGGGGAUAACUAUUGGAAACGAUAGCUAAUACCGCAUAAGAGUAGAUGUUGCAUGACAUUUGCUUAAAAGGUGCACUUGCAUCACUACCAGAUGGACCUGCGUUGUAUUAGCUAGUUGGUGGGGUAACGGCUCACCAAGGCGACGAUACAUAGCCGACCUGAGAGGGUGAUCGGCCACACUGGGACUGAGACACGGCCCAGACUCCUACGGGAGGCAGCAGUAGGGAAUCUUCGGCAAUGGACGGAAGUCUGACCGAGCAACGCCGCGUGAGUGAAGAAGGUUUUCGGAUCGUAAAGCUCUGUUGUAAGAGAAGAACGAGUGUGAGAGUGGAAAGUUCACACUGUGACGGUAUCUUACCAGAAAGGGACGGCUAACUACGUGCCAGCAGCCGCGGUAAUACGUAGGUCCCGAGCGUUGUCCGGAUUUAUUGGGCGUAAAGCGAGCGCAGGCGGUUAGAUAAGUCUGAAGUUAAAGGCUGUGGCUUAACCAUAGUAGGCUUUGGAAACUGUUUAACUUGAGUGCAAGAGGGGAGAGUGGAAUUCCAUGUGUAGCGGUGAAAUGCGUAGAUAUAUGGAGGAACACCAGUGGCGAAAGCGGCUCUCUGGCUUGUAACUGACGCUGAGGCUCGAAAGCGUGGGGAGCAAACAGGAUUAGAUACCCUGGUAGUCCACGCUGUAAACGAUGAGUGCUAGGUGUUAGACCCUUUCCGGGGUUUAGUGCCGUAGCUAACGCAUUAAGCACUCCGCCUGGGGAGUACGACCGCAAGGUUGAAACUCAAAGGAAUUGACGGGGGCCCGCACAAGCGGUGGAGCAUGUGGUUUAAUUCGAAGCAACGCGAAGAACCUUACCAGGUCUUGACAUCCCUCUGACCGCUCUAGAGAUAGAGCUUUCCUUCGGGACAGAGGUGACAGGUGGUGCAUGGUUGUCGUCAGCUCGUGUCGUGAGAUGUUGGUUAAGUCCCGCAACGAGCGCAACCCCUAUUGUUAGUUGCCAUCAUUUAGUUGGGCACUCUAGCGAGACUGCCGGUAAUAAACCGGAGGAAGGUGGGGAUGACGUCAAAUCAUCAUGCCCCUUAUGACCUGGGCUACACACGUGCUACAAUGGCUGGUACAACGAGUCGCAAGCCGGUGACGGCAAGCUAAUCUCUUAAAGCCAGUCUCAGUUCGGAUUGUAGGCUGCAACUCGCCUACAUGAAGUCGGAAUCGCUAGUAAUCGCGGAUCAGCACGCCGCGGUGAAUACGUUCCCGGGCCUUGUACACACCGCCCGUCACACCACGAGAGUUUGUAACACCCGAAGUCGGUGGGAGGUAACCGUAAGGAGCCAGCCGCCUAAGGUGGGAUAGAUGAUUGGGGUGAAGUCGUAACAAGGUAGCCGUAUCGGAAGGUGCGGCUGGAUCACCUCCUUUCUAAGGA